rnacentral:lncRNA from 1 species
UAUUCCUUCCUUUUACUGAUAACCAUUGGCUACCAAUAUAACCUUAAAGGUAUUUAGAGAGUCUUCAGCAUUAUAUUUUCUCCUAAAUACCCAUUUACAUCCAAUAGGUUUGGAUCCAGUGGUAAAUCGACAAGUUUCCAAGUUUUAUUAGAUAUCAUUGAAUCCAUUUCAUUUUUAAUUGCAUCUUUUCAAAAAAUGCUAUCACGAGAAGCCAUAGUUUUUUUUUUAUAAGUUUUAGGGUCGGUUUCUACUCGUAGAACAAAAGAAAUUGUUCUUACAGCAUUCAACUAAUUUCCAUCUACUAAGUAGAAAGAAAUAAGUUAAGAAUCAAUUUCAUCCGGCCCCAAAGACUUCUCAACUCUAGUUUUUUUGCUUUUUCGUGGUUUACUAUAGGACUAUAAGCAAAAAUCGUAAAACCAGAAAAUCGAACCGAAACCACAUUUUAAAAACCAUCGGUUUGGUGCCACGUAGACCCGAUCAACGAAAUAGUUUUGAACCAAACCAAAUCGGUCAAAAUGGUUUGGUUUAGGUUUGAGAAUUUUAAUUACGGUUAAAACCAAACUGGACCCGCAAAAAAUAUAUAAAAAUAAAAAAAUGAAUUUUUUUGAAAAUUCAUCCAAAUAUGUAAAAUUCAAUAGUUGUCAUUUGAGAGUAUUUUUGUCAAUUUUCAGUUUUCUAAUACAUAUAUAUUAUUAUUACCUAAUAAUCCUAAUUUAUAUCUAUUAAUCUCAAAACUAACAUAAUCUAUCAAAAGUAAUUUUUCUCUUCAGAAUUCAGAUGAACUCCAGACGACACCCGACACAGUCCUGAGCCACCGGCACCACACACACUUCUUCUUCAGAUUUUUUACGCCUCUUCAAAGUUGAAUUGUAGUCUAUUACACCAAAUCGGAGACAAAGAGAUCCUAGGCCUUCGGUGAUAAUAUUUGCU